rnacentral:piRNA from 1 species
UGGCCAUUCGUGUCCUCUGUUUAGGUCAC